GAGCUGUGAUGAAAUUUGGCUUUAGCGGAGGUUGGUUCCUACGCACCCGGCUGAUAUCCAGAUUAUACGCCGUACACCUGAGCUC